GGGGAAUAUUGCGCAAUGGGCGAAAGCCUGACGCAGCGACGCCUCGUGAGGGAUGAAGGUCUUCGGAUCGUAAACCUCUGUCAAGAGGGAAGAAACCCUUGGAUUCGAAUAGGGUCCUUGGCUGACGGUACCUCAAAAGGAAGCACCGGCUAACUCCGUGCCAGCAGCCGCGGUAAUACGGAGGGUGCAAGCGUUAAUCGGAAUCACUGGGCGUAAAGCGCUCGUAGGCGGUUUGGUCAGUCAGAUGUGAAAGCCCACGGCUUAACCGUGGAACUGCAUUUGAUACUGCCAGACUUGAGUGUCGGAGAGGGUGGCGGAAUUCCGGGUGUAGGAGUGAAAUCCGUAGAUAUCCGGAGGAACACCAGUGGCGAAGGCGGCCACCUGGACGACAACUGACGCUGAGGAGCGAAAGCGUGGGGAGCAAAC
rnacentral:rRNA from 1 species